UACGUAGGGGGCGAGCGUUGUCCGGAUUUAUUGGGCGUAAAGAGCGUGUAGGCGGCCAGGUAGGUCUGCUGUGAAAACUCGAGGCUCAACCUCGAGACGUCGGCGGAAACCAUCUGGCUAGAGUCCGGAAGAGGAGAGUGGAAUUCCUGGUGUAGCGGUGAAAUGCGCAGAUAUCAGGAGGAACACCGAUGGCGAAGGCAGGUCUCUGGGCCACUACUGACGCUGAGAAGCGAAAGCAUGGGGAGCGAACAGG
rnacentral:rRNA from 1 species